GUUCGGCGGCCGAAACUGCCCUCCAGAGACGAAAGUCCUCUUUCGGAGGUAGGCUUCGGCAGCCGAAGGCUGCCUCCAUAAGCGGGUUCGGCGGCCGAAAGUCCAUUCGGCGGCCGAACCUGAGUUUCUCCAAAGUGGCAGAAACUCAACUCCAACAUGCACAAACGCCUCCCAAACCUUUCAAACAUGCAUAAACCUGAUCUACAACAUGCAUACUCAAGCAUACAAGCUCCUAGGGGCUUCAAACUAUCUUAAACCCCAACUACAACACAUCAAGCAACCUCAAAUAUCAUACAUUGCU
rnacentral:lncRNA from 1 species